GACGAACGCUGGCGGCGUGCUUAACACAUGCAAGUCGAACGGAAAGGCCCUGCUUUUGUGGGGUGCUCGAGUGGCGAACGGGUGAGUAACACGUGAGUAACCUGCCCUUGACUUUGGGAUAACUUCAGGAAACUGGGGCUAAUACCGGAUAGGAGCUCCUGCUGCAUGGUGGGGGUUGGAAAGUUUCGGCGGUUGGGGAUGGACUCGCGGCUUAUCAGCUUGUUGGUGGGGUAGUGGCUUACCAAGGCUUUGACGGGUAGCCGGCCUGAGAGGGUGACCGGCCACAUUGGGACUGAGAUACGGCCCAGACUCCUACGGGAGGCGGCAGUGGGGAAUAUUGCACAAUGGGCGGAAGCCUGAUGCAGCAACGCCGCGUGCGGGAUGACGGCCUUCGGGUUGUAAACCGCUUUCGCCUGUGACGAAGCGUGAGUGACGGUAAUGGGUAAAGAAGCACCGGCUAACUACGUGCCAGCAGCCGCGGUGAUACGUAGGGUGCGAGCGUUGUCCGGAUUUAUUGGGCGUAAAGGGCUCGUAGGUGGUUGAUCGCGUCGGAAGUGUAAUCUUGGGGCUUAACCCUGAGCGUGCUUUCGAUACGGGUUGACUUGAGGAAGGUAGGGGAGAAUGGAAUUCCUGGUGGAGCGGUGGAAUGCGCAGAUAUCAGGAGGAACACCAGUGGCGAAGGCGGUUCUCUGGGCCUUUCCUGACGCUGAGGAGCGAAAGCGUGGGGAGCGAACAGGCUUAGAUACCCUGGUAGUCCACGCUGUAAACGGUGGGUACUAGGUGUGGGGUCCAUUCCACGGGUUCCGUGCCGUAGCUAACGCUUUAAGUACCCCGCCUGGGGAGUACGGCCGCAAGGCUAAAACUCAAAGGAAUUGACGGGGCCCCGCACAAGCGGCGGAGCAUGCGGAUUAAUUCGAUGCAACGCGUAGAACCUUACCUGGGUUUGACAUGGAUCGGGAGUGCUCAGAGAUGGGUGUGCCUCUUUUGGGGUCGGUUCACAGGUGGUGCAUGGCUGUCGUCAGCUCGUGUCGUGAGAUGUUGGGUUAAGUCCCGCAACGAGCGCAACCCUUGUUCACUGUUGCCAGCACGUUAUGGUGGGGACUCAGUGGAGACCGCCGGGGUCAACUCGGAGGAAGGUGGGGACGACGUCAAGUCAUCAUGCCCCUUAUGUCCAGGGCUUCACGCAUGCUACAAUGGCUGGUACAGAGAGUGGCGAGCCUGUGAGGGUGAGCGAAUCUCGGAAAGCCGGUCUCAGUUCGGAUUGGGGUCUGCAACUCGACCUCAUGAAGUCGGAGUCGCUAGUAAUCGCAGAUCAGCAACGCUGCGGUGAAUACGUUCCCGGG
rnacentral:rRNA from 1 species